rnacentral:lncRNA from 1 species
CUGGUCACCGUGGUCUCCAUGGUCUCAGUGCAGUCGUGACUGCAGUAGAGGUAUACGGAAUCGCAAACGGGUCUGCAGCAAUCCUGAGCCCAAGUAUGGGGGACUUCCUUGCCUCGGCCCAUCUCUGGAGUACCAAGAAUGCAACAUUUUGCCUUGUCCAGUUGACGGAGGCUGGUCUUGCUGGUCAUCUUGGUCAAAGUGCUCGGCAACUUGUGGAGGAGGGCAUUACACGAGAACCCGCUCUUGCACAAACCCCGCUCCAGCAUAUGGAGGAGAUAUUUGCCUUGGACUCCAUACUGAAGAAGCACUGUGCAACACACAACCAUGUCCAGACAGCUGGUCAGAUUGGUCUGAGUGGUCUGAGUGUGACUCAUCUGG